AUUGAACGCUGGCGGAAUGCUUUACACAUGCAAGUCGAACGGCAGCACGGGGCAACCUGGUGGCGAGUGGCGAACGGGUGAGUAAUACAUCGGAACGUGCCCAAUCGUGGGGGAUAACGUAGCGAAAGUUACGCUAAUACCGCAUACGAUCUACGGAUGAAAGCGGGGGAUCGCAAGACCUCGCGCGAGUGGAGCGGCCGAUGUCAGAUUAGGUAGUUGGUGGGGUAAAGGCUCACCAAGCCAACGAUCUGUAGCUGGUCUGAGAGGACGACCAGCCACACUGGAACUGAGACACGGUCCAGACUCCUACGGGAGGCAGCAGUGGGGAAUUUUGGACAAUGGGCGCAAGCCUGAUCCAGCCAUUCCGCGUGCAGGAUGAAGGCCUUCGGGUUGUAACUAGCUUUGUUACGGAACGAAACGGACGAGCUCUAAUACAGUUGUCUAAUGACGGUACCGUAAGAAUAAGACACCGGCGUAACUACGUAGCC
rnacentral:rRNA from 1 species